AUUGAACGCUGGCGGCAGGCCUAACACAUGCAAGUCGAACGAGUGGCGGACGGGUGAGUAAUGUCUGGGGAACUGCCCGAUGGAGGGGGAUAACUACUGGAAACGGUAGCUAAUACCGCAUACCAUCGGAUGUGCCCAUAUGGGAUUAGCUAGUAGGUGGGGUAACGGCUCACCUAGGCGACGAUCCCUAGCUGGUCUGAGAGGAUGAACAGGCACAUUGGAAGUGGGGAAAGGGCCAAGCUCCGACGGGAGGGAGCAGGGGGGAAUAUUGCAAAAAGGGGGCCAGGCUGAUGGAGCCAAGGCGGGUGUAAUGAAAAGGCCUUGGGGUUGUAAAGGAAUUUUAGCGGGGGGGAGGUACCCGCAAAAGAAACACCGGCUAACUCCGGGCCAGCAGCCGCGGUAAUAA
rnacentral:rRNA from 1 species